UUAACGCAAAUUUGUAUAGAGCUGGAACGUUUGCCUACGUUUGCCGCUAGGGGCGCUGUUCCAAUUCCAUACAAAUUUUUAAGUUA
rfam:Bombyx mori DNA, contig: Bm_scaf32_contig19687, strain: p50T/Dazao, build 2, whole genome shotgun sequence.